UUGUCCAGUUCAGUUCGAAGAAAGAAAAUAUAGCGGUUGGAACCACAAAGCGAAAACGUUGUUGCCUUUGUCCCUGAGCGAGCGGUUGGAGAUGGCGCGAACAAGAAUCAGAGUCAGAGAGAGAGAGAGAGGGAAAGCGUUCAUGGCUUCUGGUUGUUUCAACAGAGAGCGAGAGAGGGGUAACUUUCUGAGAUUAAUGAAUGAAUGUGUUUGGCUUUCAAUUUAGGGUUUCUCUUUCUUUCUUCUCUGUGCCCGAUUACGGAUUCUUCGUCAUGUUUCUCCAUCGCUUUUCUGAUUUAGGGUUUCUCUCCAAGAUCGAUUAUGGACCCUGUUGCCUUUGUCCCUGUCCCUGUUUUUUUUUGCAUUCGGAUGAUGGUAGUUACAUGGCUGAGCCUUCUUUCAGUCUCUAAAGGGCUUCCCCUUUCAGAGUAUGCAAGUCCCUAAAAACGAGAUGGGUAAGAUGACCCUAAAGUGGCGAGAAGGAUAAUUUCGAUUGCGGACCCAUUGUCGCUGUCCCUUUUCGGAUGAUGGUAAUUUGAGGGCGCUAAGCCUUCUUGGCGUGCCUAAAGGGCUUCCCCUUUCUGAGCAUGCAAGUCCCUAAAACGAUAUGGUGAAUAUGUCCCUUAAAUCCCGAGACUGGUAAUUUCGAUUGCCGACCCUUGCUGCCUUUGUCGCUGUCCCUUUUCGGAUAAUGAAUAUGUCCCUUAAGUCUCGAUAAUGGUAAUUUCGAUUGCCGACCCAUGUUGCCUUUGUUGCUGUCCCUUUUCGGAUGACUGGUAAUUUCGAUUGCCGACCCAUGUUGCCUUUGUUGCUGUCCCUUUUCGGAUGAAUGGUAAUUUCGAUUGCUGACCCAUGUUGCCUUUGUCGCUGUCCCUUUUCGGAUGAUGAAUAUGUCCCUCAAGUCCCGAUAAUGGUAAUUUCGAUUGCCGACCCUUGUUGCAUUUGUCGCUGUCCCUUUUCGGAUGAUGAAUAUGUCCCUUAAGUCCCAAUAAUGGUAAUUUCGAUUCCCGACCCUUGUUGCCUUUGUCGCUGUCCCUUUUGGGAUGAUGGUAAUUUGAGGGCGCUAAGCCUUCUUGGGGGGCUUAAAGGCUUCCACUUUAUGAGUAUGCAAGUCCCUAAAACGAUAUGAUGAAUAUGUCCCUUAAGUCCGAGUGUGUUGGUGGGUUUGUUGAAUUUCCAAUGUAAGAUAGUUAAGACUAGGAGAUAUAGAUAGAUCAUAGGAUCAUAUGCUUCAAUGAUAUUUUGAAUGAACCAAUAACAUCUCUGCCUUUUUACUUCUAAUUUUCACGAUGUUAGGAAUGCACUAACUUGCACCUUGUAUUCCCUUCUCUUGAUCUCGAGUUUUGUUUAAUUAGACAAUAUAUGGUUUGGUUGUAGUCUACCUGGCAUCAUCAUAAGAGGUUUUCUUCAGCUGCUUUUCUACAUUUUUUAAAUUUUGUUUAGGUCUAUGUCAAGUUUCUUGGUUGUUUUUAUUUCCUGUCUGUUUAUCUUAUGCUUUGCAUUGAUUCCCUUUAUUGUUGAUAGGUUGGAUUUCUCUAUCUGAGAUAUGUUGCUGAUCCAAAGUCUCUGGAGCUGGUUUGAACCAUAUAUAAAGGAUGCUGAGGAAUUUUCUCCUGGAUCUAAUGGACGAAUGACUACAAUGGGUGUAUAUAUCCUUGAUUUGCUCCUUGGAAAGGUUCGUUGUUAUUAUAAUAUUUCUGUCUAAAGUUUACUUGGGACUUGAGAGCAUAGUUCCUAGUUUAACCUCGUGGACUCAUGCUUUGAUUAUGCUUGUAGACAAUUAAUUGCAUUUGCAUGAUAAGGGCAAAUAAACCCUGACCCCUUGAUAUAGAGAUUUUUCGAUGUAAUGUCAUACUAGGGCAAUGGGAAAAAAACAUUUGACUCAACUGCUGACUAGUUAAACUGAGAGUUAUGUGUUCAGAGCUCUGCAACCAGAACCCAGAUGCAUCAUUAGAUUGCCAAUGCAGACACGUUCGUCCUCAUCCCAUAAUUUGGAGUAACAGAAUGAGCUUUUCAAACCGGUGCUUCUGGACAAAAGCCAUUUCUUUAUGGACAUCAACUGGGGAUGCUGACCACGUUAUGAUUGUGGGUUCAUAUUUCCAUUAUGCUGGUGGAUUUGAACCCCCUCAGGCUGUCGAUAUAUCUCCUAAUCGUGGACGCUCUGAUCCUAUGUACAUUGUGUACUCUAGGAAGCUCUACCGCUUGAGAUAAAUAUGAACUGAAAGAAUUUGUAUCAAUGUAUGUGUCUACUUAUCAGCAGUGACUCUGAUGGGAGAUUGAUUCUCUUCACAUUGUAUGUAAUUUUUUGUUUUUAAAUAUUUUAAAGAAAUUUUUCUGAGCUAUAAACUAUUUUCUUGUGGCA